rnacentral:rRNA from 1 species
UACGGAGGGUGCAAGCGUUGUCCGGAUUUAUUGGGUUUAAAGGGUGCGUAGGCGGCCCUGUAAGUCAGUGGUGAAAUACUGCAGCUUAACUGUAGCAUUGCCAUUGAUACUGUAGGGCUUGAGUACAGAUGAGGUAGGCGGAAUUGAUGGUGUAGCGGUGAAAUGCAUAGAUACCAUCAAGAACACCGAUUGCGAAGGCAGCUUACUAAGCUGUAACUGACGCUGAGGCACGAAAGACGUGGGGAUCGAACAGG